rnacentral:rRNA from 1 species
UACGUAGGUGGCUAGCGUUACUCGGAAUUACUGGGCAUAAAGGGCGUGUAGGCGGGCGUGUAAGUCCGGUGUGAAAUCCCUCGGCUCAACCGGGGACAGCCAUUGGAUACUGCAUGCCUUGAGUGCGGGAGAGGAGAAUGGAACUCUUGGUGGAGCGGUGAAAUGCGUAGAUAUCAAGAGGAACGCCGGUGGCGAAAGCGGUUCUCUGGCCCGCAACUGACGCUGAGGCGCGAAAGCUAGGGGAGCAAACGGG